AUUGAACGCUGGCGGCAGGCCUAACACAUGCAAGUCGAACGAGUGGCGGACGGGUGAGUAAUGUCUGGGAAACUGCCCGAUGGAGGGGGAUCACUACUGGAAACGGUAGCUAAUACCGCAUACCAUCUGAUGUGCCCAGAUGGGAUUAGCUAGUUGGUGGGGUAACGGCUCACCAAGGCGACGAUCCCUAGCUGGUCUGAGAGGAUGACCAGCAACAAGGGAACUGAGACACGGUCCAGACUACGACGGGAGGCAGCAGUGGGGAAUAUUGCACAAUGGGCGCAAGCCUGAUGCAGCCAUGCCGCGUGUAUGAAGAAGGCCUUCGGGUUGUAAAGUACUUUCAGCGAGGAGGCGUUACCCGCAGAAGAAGCACCGGCUAACUCCGUGCCAGCAGCCGCGGUAAUAC
rnacentral:rRNA from 1 species